rnacentral:tRNA from 1 species
GUGUGCUUGGCUUAGUGGUUGGAGCGCUGGUACUCCACCUAGGUGACCCAGGUUUGAUACCUGGAACCUACA